rnacentral:misc_RNA from 1 species
UCUCCGUUGGUGAACCAGCGGAGGGAUCAUUAAAGAGUUCUAUAACUCCCAAACCCAUGUGAACAUACCUUACGUUGCCUCGGCAGGUCGCGCCUACCCCGUAACGUCCUACCCUGUAGGACCUACCCGGUAGACGCGGGUAAGCCUGCCGACGGCCCACGAAACUCUGUUUAAUAUUGAAUUCUGAACCUAAAACUAAAUAAGUUAAAACUUUCAACAACGGAUCUCUUGGUUCUG